rnacentral:rRNA from 1 species
GGAGACCCAGAUUGUCAGUUUUGCCCUGAAUUAACCUUGGAGUCGGGUUGUUUGUGAAUGCAGCCCAAAGUGGGUGGUAAACUCCAUCUAAGGCUAAAUACUGGCACGAGUCCGAUAGCGAACAAGUACCGUGAGGGAAAGUUGAAAAGUACUUUGAAGAGAGAGUAAACAGUUCGUGAACCCGCUCAGAGGUAAACGGGUGGAGUUGAACUGGAAGCCCUGGGGAUUCAGCUGAUGAGUAUGGCAUGAGCUUGGGCAUAUUGGUCGGCUUUCAGAGUCCGCUUAGCUGUGGGUCCUUGCCCUAACGGGUUUGGAUGUGCGUUACGCUCAUUAGGCGUUGUGCGCUCUGUCUGUUCCGGGCCUGCUCGUCAGUGCAAUUCCUCAGGGUGUUCACCACGACCGGCGCUGCUGUCUGUCUGUUGCGGUCAAACCGGUUGGGCUUAGUCAUUUUGGCUAAGUUUGAUCGGGAUGGCAGGUAGCUCUUGAGAUUUUCUGGCUUCGGUUAGUAAAGCUCUUGAGUGUAAUUAGCCGACUGUAAUGGAUCUGUGCAGUGCGUCGGAGCUGGCGGCUUUGGUGUGUGUACGCGUGCUGUACCUUGCUGGCUUGGUCAAGUUUGGUUAAUGUGUUACCUGCUUCGGUGGGUCUAUUAAUGGCUUGACUUUGCAUGGUGAGUGGUGGCGCGUGCGACGCUAUCUAGGGCCAAAAGUCUGUGGUGUUGUGGUAAACUAUCCACCCGACCCGUCUUGAAACACGGACCAAGGAGUUUAACAUGUACGCGAGUCAUUGGGCGUUACGAAACCCAAAGGCGUAGUGAAAGUAAAGGUUCGGCUUGUCCGAGCUGAGGUGAGAUCCUGCUGUUUCUCUGCCUUGGACUACCAAGCAUUCGAGCAGUAGGCGCAUCACCGGCCCGUCUCAUGAUGUAGUCAUAUGACCUUUGGUUGUGUGCACCUUCGGGGCGGAGCUAGAGCGUACACGUUGAGACCCGAAAGAUGGUGAACUAUGCCUGCGCAGGUUGAAGCCAGAGGAAACUCUGGUGGAGGACCGCAGCGAUUCUGACGCGCAAAUCGAUCGUCUAACGUGGGUAUAGGGGCGAAAGACUAAUCGAACCAUCUAGUAGCU